GUUCACCUUGACAGCACAUAUAAUAAAAUUGGAAUGAUAUAAAGAAUAUUAGCAUGGCCUCUGCACAGGGAUCACACACAAAUUCAUGAAGCCUUCCAUAACGUU